rnacentral:tRNA from 1 species
CCGCCACUAGCUCAUCGGGAAGAGCGACAACCUUGGUGUUGUAGUACGGGGUUCGAGGCUCCGGUGGCGGACCA